GAUGAACGCUAGCUACAGGCUUAACACAUGCAAGUCGAGGGGAAACGACAUCGAGAGCUUGCUUUUGAUGGGCGUCGACCGGCGCACGGGUGAGUAACGCGUAUCCAACCUGCCCACCACUUGGGGAUAACCUUGCGAAAGUAAGACUAAUACCCAAUGACGUCUCUAGAAGACAUCUGAAAGAGACUACAGAUUUAUCGGUGAUGGAUGGGGAUGCGUAUGAUUAUCUUGUUGGCGGGGUAACGGACCACCAAGGCGACGAUCAGUAGGGGUUCUGAGAGGAAGGUCCCCCACAUUGGAACUGAGACACUGUCCAAACUCCAACGGGAGGCAGCAGUGAGGAAUAUUGGUCAAUGGGCGAGAGCCUGAACCAGCCAAGUAGCGUGCAGGAUGACGGCCCUAUGGGUUGUAAACUGCUUUUAUAAGGGAAUAAAGUGAGUAUCGUGAGACUUUUUGCAUGUACCUUAUGAAUAAGGACCGGCUAAUUCCGUGCCAGCCGCCGCCGUAA
rnacentral:rRNA from 1 species